GCCCGGUUAGCUCAAUCGGUAGAGCGUGAGACUCUUAAGUUUCCGACAUCUCAAGGUUGCGGGUUCGACCCCCGCAUUGGGCU
rfam:Torrubiella hemipterigena genome assembly, contig: SCAF4